ensembl:lncRNA
GGAAAAACAAAGUAACAAUAAAGCCUACUUUUUUUUUCUGGUCAAGGAAGUAGUUUUACAGAUGUUUUCUAACGUCAGAAUGACUCAAACCAUAUGGGUGAUUCUGGUCCCAAAUCUUCUAAGGUCAACCAAUCACUUGCUUUCACCUAGACAGCUGCAAAUUUAAUCAGUUGAAUUCUGACUUCUGAACAUUUAAAACUUGUAUUUAAGUCUAGCAAAGCUCAGUCUGAAUCACAUUUUUUUCUCUCAUCUUUCAGGAUAGCACUCACCUCCACGCAAAAGACAGGCACAGAGCUGAUUCACAAAGGCUGUCCCACUUAGAUGCCAGAUUUCAGUAAGACUGAAGUGAGGAAAAGGCCUUCUGAGGACCAUUUGUAAGACUUCUAGCAAAAGAGAUCAAGAGUGAAUAUGAAUCUGCCCCAGAACAAACUGAGCUUCCUGCCUUAGUUCCUGGGGUGAAGGCAAUUGUGCCACGUGUACAGUGGAUCCAGUACUGACUGCACAUUUUCAACUUUCAUGACAUGCACUGUGUUGUAGAAAGAAGAGUAACCUUUUGGGCGAUAGACAAUAAGGAUUCACCAUGUGGAGGGAAAGACUACAAGGGAGAAUAAAGCAGAAAAGAACUGAGAAUGUCUGGGGGGACAAAGCAAGAAGACACCAUGAAUACCAGAGCGCACCUCCUCACAGAAUAUAUAAAAAAGUUCGUAACUGCACCAAUAAAUGUUAAAAAGUAUCAUUGUUAAUUAAAUUAUUUACUAUGUUAAUAACUAUCUUAAUCAUUGUGAUAGUAAGCUUAUUACUAUUCUGUUAAUAACUAUGCUAGUAAGUUCAUCAACAAGUCAAUUGCUCUAGUGUCUAGAGCUCUGACAUACCUUUACUGUCCAGGCGAUUGCUACUAAACUACUGACGUGUCUCUGCUUGCCAUCAGGGCCAGCAGGUACCAGUUCGUCACAAAGAAUGAUCUUCUGUUUUGAAUCCAGAAAACCUGACUCUGUUGGUAAACAUGCAGAAAAACUUCUUUACAGUAUGGGUGACAGAGCACUGGAACAGGUUGCCCAGAGAGGCUGAAGAGUCUCCUUCUAUGGAGAUACGCAAGACCUGUCUGGAUGCCUACCUGCACAACCUAUUGCAGGGUGCCUUCUAUAGCAGCAGGGUUGGACUUGAUUUCUUGAGCUCUCUAUCAACCCCUGCAAUUCCGUGAUUCUGUGAUUCUGUGAUUUGUACUGCACGUUGAGAUUUCAGGGUGGGAAAUUCUUCAUUUCAAGUUCUCUAGGCAUUUAGGAUUCAAUUAAAAAUAUGACACUAAGAGACUUUUAGGUUUGCAAAGUGGUUGCUGAAGUAGCUGACUGUGAAGAAUUGUACUUCUUGCUCCUUGUCUGAGACACUUGAAGAGAUCUUAAUUUUUUUUAAGAUGAUGUUGAGCAUCCUCCUGAAAGAAAGCAGUUCUGUAUUCAGCAUACCUUGAACUUCCUACAACUCAGUCCAUUAGAUGACAACAACGGUAGAAGGACAAGAUGAACACAUUUACAAGUAUUUCACGGUCUGCUAUGCAGUUUUGAGAAGGAUCAUCUGGAAUGGCUGUUAACAGUUUGCUAAAAGGAUGUCUUUAAAAAUUCCAUAACGUUUUUGGUAGAGCACCAGCAACAUAAUUUCAAAUAUACUGCAAAUUCUCUGGCGUUCACUGAAGAUCUGCACUAAUAUUGGUUGAUGGAGACUAGAGCAGCAGAGAGGUGCCUCCUGUGACAUUCUUGUAACCAUUACAAUUGGAUAUUUUCUUCUUUCCUGUACCACAGUAACCAUCAUGGCAGAGGUAAAAGGGAAAAGCGAGAAGAGGAAUUGUGAACUUUGACUUCAUCUUGUGGUGGAGCUGGUACAGUACUGAGGGUGCCUUCAUUUAUUUCUAGCCAGAGGUACCAAAAUCUUUGCUUUUCUGAGAUGGAGAGGCUGGAUGUGGGGGCAAAGGGAGAAGAAAGAGGAUGAGACAAGGGUUCAUGCAGAGACACUUCAGAAUGUCUUAAAAGAUGCAGAAAAAUGAAGAGUUCAUUUUUUUCACAGAUCACUUUAACAUUAUUUUUAACCUCGCUUCUUUUAUAAUGACCCCUCUGGAAGGGUGAAACAUGCAUUCUUACCAGCUCUUUUUAUUCAACUUAAAACAUGCGUGCUGAGUUGUUGUUGGCUUUUACACUUGGGAAGUAAAAAGGAACAGGAUGUUAGGGGAAAAUAUAUUUCUGAAACGUUAUUUGUUAAAAUGUCUACAAAGAAUUUUGUGGCCUUCACAAAUAGAUGAAAGUGAAACAGCUCACAGUUUGACCUUCCAGCCUUUCCUGGGGUCUCAGUAGGUGACACUGCAAAGCAUGGAGCUGCCUGUUUCUGGUUGAAACUGCAUUACAGUAGAUUUGUACCAUAAUUUGCCUUCUUCCCAUCCCCUUUAGUCCCCCAUAGUCUCUGUAAAAUUAUCAGGGAUCAAGUGUGCCAGGACAGUCCUUGCAAACCCAUCACCUCUGAAUCUUGCUCCAGCAAAAAAUAAAUUAACUAACUUAAAAAAAAAAAAAAAAAAAGCCAACACUAAGAAAAGACAAUAGAACCAGGGUUCACCAAAUUAUACAGAAUUGUAUGGGUUGGAAGGGACCUCUGGAGAUCAUCUAGUCCAACCCCUAGUUCCUGGAGCAAUCUAGGUAAAGAAGAUGAUAACAAGACAUUGGUGAAUCUGAAAAGGUGAAGUGAAAAAGUAUCAGAUUCCAAUCCCCCAGCCAAGCAGAAAACAAAAGUGCAUUCAUGCCCAAAUAAGUGAAGAUAUUGCCAGACAUAUUCUGUGUGGAGACAAGGAUCAUUAGCAUUGGUGGAGUAAUUUUCAAAACUACACCUGCACUUUAAAGAACUCUGUUUUGCUUGCAGGCUUUGAACAAAACAGAUCUCGGUCUACUUUCUUGAAGUCUUGACCUAUACUGUUUCAAAAAAUUUUGGUAGCUAAUAAAAAACUUCAGCUAAAGAAAGGCAUACUCCCAGUUCAGGAGUUCUGUAUGGAAAAGUCUGUAUAGAAAACUUGAUAUGGAAUGGUAGCUAUAUCAGUGGAGACAGUGAAAAACCAAAGAAAAAGAUAGACAAUGAUCAGAUAUAAAUCCAUGAAGACUUGCCUCAGCACUAUGUUUAAAUAUCAGUGAAGCGAACUAUUUCUCAAAAUGUCAGAAACCAAAGAUUUCACCCAUCCAUCUCAGGCGGUAUUAUUAACCUUUGAUUUCUUAGAAGUUCAGAUGAGAUCCCUGGAGAUCUUUUAUCAGCAUGGAGUCUACAAAGUUUUUCCUUGUGCCACCAUGAGUCAAGAAUAUAAUUACAAUAGGCAGAAAUGUAGGCUCAGGAAACCUGUUCAGCUAGAAAUGGAGACAGUUAUAACAAGGGAUUGAAACAAUCAUAAAAUUUCAUGUUUUUUAACCACUAAGUCAGAAGAGGAAAUGGAGACAACUCCAGAUGCAAGCUCAGCAUCCCCUCACUCUGUUUUAAGAUGAGGAUAUUAAACACACAUUGUAACUACCCAAGCAGAAUCCAUAAUGCAGAUCAAUAGUCUUACUGCUCUAGGAACAUUGUAUUUGAUGAGUGUGAAGUGUAGCUAGUAGACAAAUUUCCUACAAAUAAUGUCUCAAUUGCUCGUCUGUAUGUGCAUAUAUUAAUUACUGAUAAUUAACAUGCUAAUUAACCUCUUAGAAAUCAUAAAAAAUCAGCAUUCUUCAAUAUUUAUGUCACAUCUAGCUACUUCUGUUGCCAAAGACAGCAAUUGUAGAAUCUCAGUGUGGGUCUGGCCUUAGGGCAAG